rnacentral:rRNA from 1 species
UACGUAGGGUGCGAGCGUUGUCCGGAAUUAUUGGGCGUAAAGGGCUCGUAGGCGGUUUGUCGCGUCGGGAGUGAAAACUCAGGGCUUAACCCUGAGCCUGCUUCCGAUACGGGCAGACUAGAGGUAUGCAGGGGAGAUUGGAAUUCCUGGUGUAGCGGUGGAAUGCGCAGAUAUCAGGAGGAACACCUGUGGCGAAGGCGGCCCCCUGGUUGGAUACUGACGCUGAUACGCGAAAGCGUGGGGAGCAACAGG